rnacentral:rRNA from 1 species
UACGGAGGGGGCUAGCGUUGUUCGGAAUUACUGGGCGUAAAGCGCACGUAGGCGGCUUUGUAAGUUAGAGGUGAAAGCCCGGGGCUCAACUCCGGAAUUGCCUUUAAGACUGCAUCGCUAGAAUUGUGGAGAGGUAAGUGGAAUUCCGAGUGUAGAGGUGAAAUUCGUAGAUAUUCGGAAGAACACCAGUGGCGAAGGCGGCACUCUGGGCCGGAACUGACGCUGAGGAGCGAAAGCGUGGGGAGCGAACAGG